GACGAACGCUGGCGGCGUGCCUAAUACAUGCAAGUCGAACGAGAAAUUCUUACACCGGAUGCUUGCAUCCACCGUAAGAUUUCGAGUGGCGGACGGGUGAGUAACACGUGGGUAACCUGCCCAAAAGAAGGGGAUAACAUUUGGAAACAAGUGCUAAUACCGUAUAACCAUGAUGACCGCAUGGUCAUGAUGUAAAAGGUGGUUUUGCUAUCGCUUUUGGAUGGACCCGCGGCGUAUUAACUAGUUGGUAAGGUAACGGCUUACCAAGGUGAUGAUACGUAGCCGAACUGAGAGGUUGAUCGGCCACAAUGGGACUGAGACACGGCCCAUACUCCUACGGGAGGCAGCAGUAGGGAAUCUUCCACAAUGGGCGCAAGCCUGAUGGAGCAACGCCGCGUGAAUGAAGAAGGUCUUCGGAUCGUAAAGUUCUGUUAUUAGAGAAGAACACGUGUAAGAGUAACUGAUUAUGCGUUGACGGUAUCUAAUCAGCAAGUCACGGCUAACUACGUGCCAGCCGCCGCCGUAACAC
rnacentral:rRNA from 1 species